CUUUCAUGGAGAACACGUCUUCUGACAAAACCUAACAAGGGAUAAAGUGUUUGGUUGCUGAGAGGACAUGUAACUUCCCAAAACUCUGCAGAGUUGGCUUUGGGCCUUGUAUAAUUGCCCAAGCAAAGAUGGCGACUUUGGCCAACAUGUAUGUUCCUCUUAGGGACUUCUAUCAAAUGAAGAGCCACGGACAGCUGACGAAAAGAGGUUACGAUGAGGAAGAAAGAAAUCUUCUUCGUGGGAGAAGAAAAUAUAGUAUAGGUUUCUAAGCCUCCUCAUUAUAGUAGUUGUUAAUAACAUUUGAAAAUAAAGUUUCUCUGCG